rnacentral:rRNA from 1 species
UACGGAGGGGGCUAGCGUUGUUCGGAAUUACUGGGCGUAAAGCGCACGUAGGCGGCUUUGUAAGUUAGAGGUGAAAGCCCAGGGCUUAACCCUGGAAUUGCCUUUAAGACUGCAUCGCUAGAAUCGUGGAGAGGUGAGUGGAAUUCCGAGUGUAGAGGUGAAAUUCGUAGAUAUCGGGAGGAACACCUGUGGCGAAAGCGGCUCACUGGACCAUAACUGACGCUGAUGCACGAAAGCUGGGGGAGCAAACAGG